CACGUAGGGUGCGAGCGUUGUCCGGAAUUAUUGGGCGUAAAGAGCUCGUAGGCGGUGUGUCGCGUCGGCCGUGAAAACCUGCAGCUUAACUGUGGGCUUGCGGUCGAUACGGGCAUCACUGGAGUUCGGCAGGGGAGACUGGAAUUCCUGGUGUAGCGGUGAAAUGCGUAGAGAUGCGGAGGAACACCGAUGGCGAAGGCAGCCCCCUGGGCCGACAUUGACGCUCAGGCACGAAAGCGUGGGGAGCAAACAGG
rnacentral:rRNA from 1 species